rnacentral:ribozyme from 13 species
UCUUUUCUUUUCUUUUUCUUUCUUUUUCUUUCUUUUCUCUCCUU